CUAUGUUCUACACGGUGCCGCGGAGGCGCAGGCUAGUUAGGAGACAAACCACCAGACAGUGACAGUGGCGGAGGCAGGAGGUCAGGAGGAGGAGUAGUAUUAAGAAGACAAAUUCCUGUUCCUUAAUUACGAGUGACGACCGAUAGAUAUCGGGUGGUGUUAGUUUAGUCGUCUCGAAUAGAGAGGUGGACCUUAUUAGGUGAGUACUACGAGUCUCGUUAAGUGGUAGAAGAAGAAUCCAUCACGAGGGAGGCAUUUUUUUUAUAUUCUCGCAAAUCUAGUGGUGAACUAAGCGAGAACACGGAGGCUUUAAUUACACCAACGCAUACGUCCUCGUUCUACUCCCGUCGGCGCCACCGCUAGAGCAGGCCGCAGCCGGAGCGAGCGAAGACGUGCCGGAGCUCGAGGUACUCCGACCGGCCGUUUCACCGGCAGUAGUGGCCGCGACGGUCGCCGUACCCGUUCCGCUGGCGGUGCCUCAAGCAGUCCUUACCGCGGUUCCAGUAGGAGUGGCUGUAGGUCCUGCUGGAGCCGGUGCGGCACCGGCGGCUCGAGCCGGGGCUGCGAAGGAUGCGGGCGACGCUGCACUGGCUGCUCCGCGUCUAACGGCGGCGGCAGCUGGAGCGUCACCGUGCGGUGCCGGCCGAACUGCAGGACGUGUUGGUGCGGCCCCAGUGGCCCUCCUACUCAAACCUCAGGCAGCGUAGCGAGCUGGACCGGCUGAAGCUGGCGUGGUACCGUCGGUUGCAGGCCAGACGGCAGCGGCCGUAGUUCGUGCGCCGCGCCCACUACCACGGCGCGGCCUCGCCCACGUAGUAGACGUGGCGCCCGUGCCGCCCCCACGAGCCUUCGCCGCAUUUGGGGCGCAUGACGUAGAGGUUCCGGCGGCACUAACCGCGGCAGGCCCGCAACCGGCCCCUCGACCCCUCCGUCCCGCACGCGCACUUGCGGUAUAGCGGCGUGCGGUAGCGCUGCGGCAAGCCCGACGCGCCCUACCGUCUCGACGACGGCCUCUGCUCGCUCCUCCUCGACUCCGCCUACCACCGCUGCCGGUACUUGCUCUACCCGCCCUCACAAGACCUCCACCUCCUGUAGCGCGCCCGCCGGCACAUGGACCGCAGGCUGCUCCGGUUCAUACAGUUGCCCGUGUUGGAGCAGCAGCUACCGCCCAAAUGGCACCCCUUCGACUAAGUGUACGGCCUAGGCCACUCGUCACGCACUGUCCGUACCGUUACUGUCGCUACCUCUACUGCGUUUGUACGUGAUCAAGGGGAUCGAUGUUCAUAACACCAUGUCUCCCUCAUCAUAACUCUAUGGGUAGCAGGUGUCGUACGCGUUAUUUAUUCCCUGGCAUAGAUUAGAUAAUGAACCUAUCACCCGCGUAUGUUAACUAGAUAAUGAACCUACCAUGAGUCUGAACCACGAACCCAUCACCCGCGUACGGAUCGACCAUCCCAUCCAGCGCCACUAGAGGCCACUUGGGAAAAUCAGUACGCUUACAGCUUUUGGUAAUCGAAGGGUUGACUCUCCCGGUCCGGUAUAUUGAAGGGUACUGUCUUCCGCUGCAGCAAUUUGGUC
rnacentral:rRNA from 1 species